rnacentral:snoRNA from 1 species
UCCUUGGAGGCAAAGAGAUGUACACUUGGAUAAGUAAGAAUUAGAGGCAAAGAGAUGUGUACCUGGAGAAGUCUGGAGCCAGCUUGCUCCCUGCAGGCUCAAGAUCACCUUUUCACACAC